UGCUCCGUCAUUGCCUGGGCUGCAGGGCGGGUGGGCACGGUUCCCCUGGCGCGCGGCCCCUGGCCGUAGCAAGGUCAGGACGCGAAGCCGUGCGCUGCUUCCUGCGGACGAGCAGUCUUCAUUGUUUAAUCCCAGAUCCCGUGGGUUGUGAUAAUCCCGGGGUAAUCUGCGCUCUGCCGGCGGAUGGUGCUGCUGGCGGCCCCCGGGCAGCGCCCAGCGGGUGGUGGCAGCGGGCGCUGGAGGAGGGGACGGGUCCCAGCGGCGGUGCUGGAGCGAUCGGGUUUGCUCGGGGGCUGCUCCUACGAGCACGAGGACGAGGCUCCUACGUUCGGAGUCCUUAGCGAGGCUCAAUAAUCAUUAAGCGGGGCUACAGCAGGAAAGAUAAGAGCACGUGCUCUGCCCACCGCCACCACCUUUGCAGAGAAUCCUCUCAAAGCUGAUGGGGAUGGCCCGUUUUUCUCAGGAUUAACAAAAAUUAAAAUAUUGCCUUCCCCCCUUCAGAAGUAUGUUUUACCCCAGGAUCCAUGCAGCACCGUUCCCUCAUUGGGAGCAUCUGCAGAGCCCGCUGCGCUGCCCUGGAGCACGUCCGUGUGCUGACAGCAUCACUGUGCUCUGCACGAGGGAACUCACAGCUUCUCUAGGGGCAAAAGAAAGACCAAGAAACCAAAGUCUGACAGGCCAUCAUCCUAUGGACCUCGUGAGGAGCAAGACCUACUUGCUGUCUUGGGAGGCAUUUUGGCACUGAGGUUCAGACACAGCACUUUGAUUCCCAUUGUGUCACCCUGGAGCCCUUCAGUACAGGUGUAGUUGAUGACAGCAGAAAUUCUUGUUGUGGAACCAGAAGCAACGUUUCCAUUUUCUGUGUUUUUACCAAGGUAAGCUCAGCUAAAGGGGAGCUGUGAGGACCAUCACGCACUGUCCUCGUGUGCUGUUGCCUUCCACUGCUGCUCCAUAGCACGUUGGUAUGGUUGGCAGAGUAGAGUAUGGGCCAUGAGUUAACUGCCUUUCCAUGCAGCAAGCUGAAACACAACUUUUUUUAACCUAGUUUAGGAAGUUAGCAUUUUAGCUCCACGAGGAAAAACACACUGCUUUGUUUUAACUGAGGAACCCACCUCUACUGGCAGGAGUGUGAUAUGUGAGGGGGGUUCAGCAGGAAUUACACAGAGAAGAGCAUUUGGUUGCAGUUUUCUGCCUACCACUGGCUGUAGCCUUUCUCUUGCUCAGCUUGUGCUGUCCAUGGGGCCACCAGCUGGGCUGCAUUAUCCAUCGAGCCCAGGGAGACAAAAGCAGGCAGCUGGGAGCUGGCACCUGUGUCCUGAGGAGAGGCUGCGAUGGAGGAGAGCAGGCAGAGACAGUGCUCCAGGAGAGAACCUCCUCUGGCAGAGGCACCUUGGCUGGGACAAAAUGCUGUGGCUCCAGGCAUGCGGCAUGCUGAGAUGAACUGAGCAGCUUUUUGAAAAUGUCUUGAGAUCCUUGGCAAUGGGGGGAGAUUGCAGCGCAAGCACUUCUCUGGAUUACUCUGUCACCGAUGUCAAAUCAAAGCAUCAAGGAUAUAAAUCUUCAGGAAACAUCUGGCCUCACUUCAGCCAGGUUAUGCAAUGCCUCAAGUACAUUCAGCAGAUCAUGCUGUGUUCUCCAUUUGUGUAACGCAAGCUAAUGUGAAUAUCGAGUCACAUCAGUGAUGUAGACAAGUCGUCUAGAGAUUAAGACAGCAACUCAAACUGGGAAGUUCGGCCUUUCAGCUUCAACUUAAAGGUCAUCGUGUUCUCUCAAGAUAUCGUCUUGCGACAGCUUUUUUGGUAUUCUCAGCAGUGCUUACGGCACGGUGGCUGAUCGUUCUUCACAAACUGUAAAGGAAGGAGGCUGCCCCUUGAUUGAGUCCCCAGAUGACAGCAAUGUGAAAUGAGCUGACCAGCUCCGUUCUCAGACGGCUUGCUCCAGAGCAGCUCAUAGGCUGUGGUAACAUUAGAAGAAAGAAAGAAGAAGAAGCCAAAGCCAAACCUUGCCCACAUGGGGAUUCUGCCUGGGACACAGUCCAGCCCUGCAUCAGGACACAUCUUCUGCACUGCAACCAGCACCAGCCAUCAAUGUCUGCAACACCUCAAGAAAUAUCCUGCGGCUCUUGCACCAUGGGAAGAUGUCCUUUUGAAGUCCAAGUGAAUCCGUGUGCAUGUAUUAACAUCACAGGAUUGAGCAGAAAAGCAUAACAGGGAGCUGAGGUCCUGAUGGAUUUGAGGUCUUUCUUCCCCCUUGGAGCGCUGAAGAGCAACUCGAGCAGCCUCAGAGGAGGUGACGCACCUGGGGUUUCCAUCGCUGCACCCGUGCAGGCACAUCACCGGCAUCGCUGCGCAGCCAGCAGGGACAGGACACGGCGUGGCUGACAGCCGUGGGGUAGAUGGCAGUGGAGCACUGAUGAGGACAUUGGAUUCUGAGUGACUUGCGAUCUGCUGGAUGGUUUUUGGCGGUAGCAUCUCCAAUAAUUGGUGUAGGCAGGGUGCUGAGAGCCAGAGCCUCUGGCUGUGCACCUGGAACCCCUGGGCAGCGCUCGGGACAUCAGGCAAACGUGUGGAGGGGGAGGACAGUUACAGCCUGACUUCAGAGCGGUCCCUGGGGAGAUAAUGGGCAGUGACUGGAUUGCGGAGGUUGGCAGUGAAGGGACCUUUUGCGAUAUUGGUCAUCGUGUGCUGUCACUGAAACCUCAGCGCAGGAAGCUGAUGCUUCCGGAAUCCUAAGGGAGAACUGUCAUAACUGCGUGACUUAGAAUGCAGACUGAGAAAAAGCCUCCUGAGAAGUGCCAUGGUUGGAGCCGCAAUGUGUGCAGAGCACUUCGGUGCAGUGGGCUCAAGAUUCUGCCACGAGGCCGCCUGAGCCACACGCUGUUCAGCUGGAGACUUAUUUAAGAUUUUCUUCAAAAAUGUCCUUUGGUGCUGUCAAGCUCUACAGGUGGUUGCAGUAAAUUACACACGUGUGGACAGGUGUGGAUUGACAUAGAUUUUUUUUUUUUUUUUUUUUAGUUGAUGAUGUCGUUGUCAAUAUAUAUAUAUAUUUAGCCAUAGGCACUGAAAGGAUCAGCAAUAACCAAGAAGAUUGGGACCAACAGAGUAGGCUGUAAGCCGCAGAGUGAGCAGCAGCACUGCCUUCCUUCCCAGCAAUGGAGUUUGAUGGCAGCCUGAGGUGCACAGUGCAGCAAGGCAGCUGCAUGCCUGCCAGCCUCCGCAGCUGGGGGCCUGGGUUUGUCUCUGCAUUCAGUUUCCACCCCUGUGUCAGACUCAAGACACCGAGGGCAUCUGAGACUCCUCCCAGGUUUCCAUCUUCUUCAUAGAGAUGCACCGAUUAUAUUUGGAAAUCUGGCCUUUAAUCUCCCUGCGCUGCAAUUCUCACUCGUCAUUGCCUUUUUAAUGUUUUCUAGUGUAAAUGUGAUUUCCCUGCUGCAGCUGCUCUUUCAAGCUAUGUGUUCAUGGCAAGAUAGGACCCCCAACAUCAUUUAAGAGCCACUGUAAUGCAAAUAAAAACAAACAUCCCACUUUCCCUUUCUUUUUCAGUCUUCUCCAGCUUAGUUCUUCUAUAUCCACACACGGCAAGUCACCUACCAUUGCUGUGGUCUCAGGCUGAUGAUGUGGAUUUACUGUAUUGUCAUAGUAUACUUUCUAUUUCAGUGCCUCUGGAGCAUGAUUUAUUACAAUGACAGACCACACUACAGUUUGCAUAGCACGCUUAAUUCAUUACCAUUUUUUUUAAUACAGCUCUUUACAUCAUCUCCAGCAUUUGGGAGUAUAUAUAUUUAUUUUAAUCACCAUGUGCUGAAUAUGUAAUUUUUUUCCUAGGUGAAAUUUCCUUUUAAUGGAGGCUGGGUCAUGAGAGAGCAAUUAAUUGAGUUAUGUGCACAUAUUACAGAAUAAUUUAAAAUCAGCUUUUGGGUCAGUCUUUUUUUAAUUAUCUAUUUUAUCAACUGUUUUUGACUAGCAGUUUAGAUAAUUGUGUUUGCCUAAUAUCUGGAAAUGUAAUUGCUUUUAGACAUCCUUUAUUCCAAGCCUGGCAUCGUUACCUGCCUCUGCAUACUGCGCAUGUUUGGACCUGUCUGCACAAUGACAGAUUUGUGGUGACAGCUUGUAUAACUUAUUUAUGAAAUGAUAAAUUAUUUUUGAAUUAAAGUUCACAGACUGGAAAUAUGGAGAAACACCUCCUUGCUGCAGAGGAUCCGUUAAAUAAGUCAAAAGGAAACUAUGAGUAUUGGCAAAGAGCACAUGUCAAGUGUGGGACACUGUUAGACUGGUUCAGGGAGCCACUCCCUGGAUGCAGUGUUUGAGAAGCAAAUGAGGAAAUGAAAGUACCUUUCAUAUAUGAGCUUUUAAUAGGCUGUUGGUUAUUAUCUCAGCGCUUUUUCCUCGGUACUGCACUCACGGUGACUCACAGCGGGACGCACAGGAGCAACCACGGGCAGCCUCCUCCCCGGAGCAGCUCCACACUACUGCCUAUUAUUUAGUGACUUGAAAUGUCAGCAGAACGGCACCCGUCUCAGCCAUCCCCUCCUUUCAGCUGCCCACCGCAGGGACCCGUGCCAGAAGGCAGAUGCCCGUGCCGUGCCCCACAUCCCCACGCAAGGUGCAUGGCAGCGGGAUUGCGGCUGUGCAACAAAUCGAGGCGGUGCUCUCCAAAGCUCAGUUCCACAUGUGCUCACCCACUGCAGAAAGCCCUGGAAAUGGUUAGAAAGAUCCAGCGCGGCUUAAGGGAGAACUGAGUUUGGGGGUGGUCUUUGUCAACACCCACCCUGACAAUUGGAGGUGGAAUGCAGCAGAGGCGCUUUGGUGGCUCUGGCAGAAUACCCUCGGCAGAAGCAAACCUUCUCUUAUUGCAGUUUAAAACAUUGGCCAUCCCUCCCUGCACUCCCACACAGCAUUUGCUCCUCAGAAGAGGACAGAUACCAGGGAUAUACGAAUGCAAAGUUCUGGAAGCAAAUCUGCUCCCCAGGUUUCAUUAGCGAUGACACAAGAACAGACAAUUUUGUCUGCACGUGGGCUGCAGCCCUGCAAGCCUGAAGACCGAGUGGUGCAGCCUGACAACGGGACAUGUGGCCAUUACGGGGUCCCUGCGAGCCCUUGGACCAACCCACCGGUCAUUAAACCCGGCUGUGCUAUCUGCUGUUCCUUUUCAAUCUCUCCCUUCCAAAAACCGCACCAGGUGAAAUCCAAUAUCAUGCACUGACUCACAAAUAGCUGUUCGUUUUCAAGACAUCUUUCACUCGAACCUUUUGUUAGAAGCUUCUAAGGAAAACACAGGGUAAUAGAAAGAGCAGGUGAAGUGACAAGCUGAGCUGACUGCACGCAAUAAACAGAGUGCCUGUGGCUUCAGCAUUGCCAUAGCUCUGUCUGCAUGAACAGGGUAAUGCUUUGAGCAUAGCACGGGGUCAGGAUGACAGGUUACUGCUCUGUUCUUCUGCUAAAGUCAUUAUGUGAUGCUGAGCAUGUUUUCUUGCCUCUAAAAUUUUUAUUGACAUGUUCAGUUCUGCGUCAUCCAUUUGGGAGAGAAGGUCCUUGGAAGAAGGAAGAAGUCUUCAUCCACAGACUUCUCUCUCUCUACUGGCCCUCACGCCAGAAUCCUUCAUUGGUACAUCUAGUAGUUGUCUUAACGCAUAUGCAAUUAUUAUUAAUAGCAGUUUUAAUAGUAUUUAUAUUUACUGGGUUUACAGUCUCACGACCCAUGUAGAAAUUUGUUGCAGUUCAGGUAUGAGCCAUGUGAGGUGCUGGCACUGCUUGCAGAGCUGUGGUGCCCCAUCCCUGGAGGUACCGAGGCCACAGAUGGGCCCUGGGCAGCCGGAGCUGGGGGGCAGCCAGCCCAUGGGUGGGGGGGGGCUGGGGGCUGCCUUCCAACCCAGCCACGCUGUGCUUCUAUUUCAAGUCUGAGAUAAGUGCCUCUGACAGUCAGCCUUCUAAGACAAAUCCUCCUCCUAAAAUGCAGCAUGCACACCCAGACAGGUUGGGUUAUACUCUUGCUUUCCUUCAAUGAGAAUUGACAAGAAGUGUGCAACAGAAAGCUUUCUGUCAAAGCGGGAAAUAGGGAUUUUUCUCCCUUUUUUUUGUUGUUGUUGUUGUUGUUGUUGUUGUUGUUGUUGUUUUCCCUUUCCUUUAGCAAUCUAAGAAUAACGCCGAUUACAACAGCACUUCAGCACUUUUCAUCCUGGAUUGCUCCUCACAGGAGAAAAUGUGUGUAGAAUAGAGGUGUCAGCUGGACACCCAUCCACCCAAAAAGACAGAAGGGCACAAGCUGUGCACAGGCUGGACCAGGCACCCCUUUCCCUUUCUCCCACCACAGCACACGCCAUCCACAUUUGCGUGGGCCCAUGAACACAGCAAAUCCAGACCCUGCAGGAGCUCAGGAGAUGGACCCGGAGUUGAACAGAACCCUGACAGUGCACAGCAGCUGGUGGAACUCCAGGUCAGAACACCGUAACAUUGAACAACUCAUCCAAAAAGCAACUCCCCCACUGGGAGUGGGUGAAGGUCUUAUUAUAACUUUCCCCCCAUGCCUCUGAGCACAAACGAUCUUUUUUUUUCCGCUAUAACACCAUUUUCAUGUGAUCAGAAAACAGUAGGAACUGGAGCUUUAUCCGAAACAGCAGAAAUAAUAAGCCUGGCUACAUUGCAGGGGCAAGCAGCACGUUCCCUUACACAAUGACACCAGCAGACUAUUGGCAGAAGGCAGCUGGAAGAGACACAGAUCAAACGAGUGCUGCGCCAGGCGGGCUGCAUCAGGCAUCGCCCAGAACUCGUCCUGAAGCUGCACCAAGGCCUGGCUGCUAUGGCUGCGCUGCCCGGUGCAGUCCCACAGCACAGUACUGGUGGGAGAGGCAUGACCUGCCCGUGUGGGAGGGGGUGCUGGGACACAGAUCUCUCCAGUGACUGCAGAGCUUUUGGAAAUCGUUAACACAUUCAGCAAUGCAGGCUCCGGGACUGCUGUGAGAGAACCAAGGGCCUCGCUUCCGGGGUUUGCCUUUCCACCCUCAGACUGAUGCUGACGGUAUUUAAAGCAGGCAGCUACAAUUUUUUUUUAAUAAACUAUUAAUACAACAUGUCUCAAGGCUGUUUAUCAGGCGCUGCUGUUAAGAAACAUUUUGAAAUGGUUACUGGUCUGCCAUCAGACCCUGCUCUAAAAUAAGGUUUCCCAAGAGUUUAUUUGUAUUUCGGAGGAGAACGCACUGACCAUGUUCAUGCUUCCCAGUAUUUCUUCCAGACGCUACGGGUUGUUUAUCCAUACUUGCAUGCAAAUAUCCCAUCUAAUUCAUUUUGUUCUUUUAAAAUGCAGUUUAAAUACAGCUUUUCAGGGAAACAGAGCCCGUUUCCAUUUAUCUUAGUUGAAACUAGGGCUAUAAAUCUCUUCGGUUUCUUUUAUUGAUCUCAGACGAAAUUACAAAUAUAAAUUACAGCUGCUGCAAAUUAAAUGUUCUAAUGACUGCUCGAAAGCAAACGCGCUAGCACCAGUAACACAUUCAGCAAAGACACAGCAAGAGCGGCAGACAGCGGCCACCCCCUGUUCCCAUGCAAACCCUCAGCCGCGGUGCUCUCCUCCUACCACCAGCUUUCUCGCCUAUCUCUGACUGUUUUAAUCAGUUCACCUCAACUAGGUCCCUAGGACCUGCAGGCGGCUUAAUAUACCCACCACGAAAGCUCGGUGAAAAGCACCGCGCUUGAAGUGUCACUACAUAUUCCAUAUAGCCCAAGCUGAAAUAUGGAAAUAUAUCACCAGUUUUACUGUCCCAGCGGUUUUCCUCAUUCUCAAUCUCACUAUAAACGUUGGCCUCAGGGGCACGCUCCGCAAGGGCAAAUAUCAGGUGAUGCUGCUUCAGGUAGCACCCGUUUCCUAUGAAGGAGCUCCUAUUUCACAAGGCAGCGUAAUCAUCAGUUUUCUACACCGCUGACACUCAGACCCUUAUGCACAAAGGUUUCUGUUUACCAGGUCAUGAAAUUGCAAGUAUAAUAGUGGUGACUUUGCUGCACUUGAUAAAACCGUAAAACAUUUCAUUUUGCUGCCUACUGAGCUUUAAAAAAAAAAAUGACAUUGGAAAGGAGACAACAUUCUUGCUACCAUCAAAGUAUUGCAAAAUAUCUACUUUCCUGCUUG